rnacentral:rRNA from 1 species
UUAGGGUCGUUGUAGACUACAACGUUGAUAGGAUGUAGGUGUAAAGGUGGUAACAUCAAAGCCGAGCAUUACUAAUUGCCCGUUCACUUUCUUUCU